UCUCUUGCCAGGUAGCCUAGCAGGAAUACUCUGUUCAGUUAUGCAAAAAGCAUGGAUUUGAUCCCUAACUCUUGUUACCACACUCCUAGGAAUACAUGGUUACAAAAAUAAAAGCAUUAGCCUGCAGCCAUACUGCUAUGUGCUGUGCUCUCCUCAGAGCUCACAUGUCAGUGAGGUCAGCCCUGCUCAGGACUCACAGUGCUGGGGGUGCUGUGGAGAUGUGGAAAGGAAACGCAGAGUAAAAGAAUGUGUGGGAAUCACUGUCCUCAUCUGUGCUCCAUGCCAGGGAGUUUCUACUCUCUUGUCUAUUUCUUUGUGACCUUUUUUCUCCUCAGAUUACCAUUAUUUCAUAAACGUGCUUUGUUUUCUUUUUUUCUCGAAGUCAACAAAGGCACUUACUGGGAGUACGCAAAUUUGUGUGGAUGCAAUGCUAGGAAUGACAUUUUGAGAUUUGUAGCUAAAAGUCUUCCGAGCGACACUUAGGUUGGAGACCUUUGCAGUCCAGCCUUUCCUUACAGACCGUUUCAAGGGGCAUCAAUACGAGACGUGUCUGGUGCAGCUGUAAAAAAAGCACUGCCUGAGAAGCAGCCACAGCCCAAGCCCUGCAUGAAACAUUGUAGCACGCUGUGCCCUGGAGAACUUAACAGCCUGACACGCAUUGCAGGCGCAGGAUGUCAGAAAGGCUCUGGCACUCAUGAAGAGUAAGUUACGUGAUGCUGGCGAGUGAUGUUUAAAGCCGUGAUUCCAGGGUGAGGAGGAGGCUUGGAUGAUAGGGAUGGAAAGGUAGAACCAGAAGGGGUUGAGGAGGGGAAUUUGACAAGAGUGGCAGAGAAGGCAAAAAGGGACAGAUUACAGAAUCACAGCAUCACAGAAUGGUUUGGGUUCGAAGGGAUCUUAAAGACCAUCUAGUUCCAUCCCCCUGCUAUGGGAAGGGGACACCCUCCAGUAGACCAAGUUGCUUAAAGCCCUGUCCAACUUGAUGAAGUCAAAGGAGAAGGAAGGGAUCCCUUAGGAUAAUUUAUAUGAGGUAAGGAGCAGCAGCCUCUCAGUCUUGCAGCCAUCACUCAGGUACUGUGCUUAUGCUGCAUAGAGUGCAUAGCAUAUUGCUUUUGUCUCCCAAAUGGCAGAACAUGGUUUAGUUAUGUGCAUUCAACAUCCUGUGAGCAUAUACUGAUGGCUAGCAUGCACUCAGAGGAGGUGCUCAUUUGUCACCACACACAGAACAAGGGACAGAUGUUCAAGGAGGACAAGGAUCCUGCCUGUUCUACCAAGGCAAUGCUACAAGCAAAACAUCAGCAUCAGACCUGAAGCAAAACCUGAGUUCCAAACACUUCUAAAUGUUAGGUGAGAUGAACCCUAUGUCCAACUGGAAUAGCAAAACAUUCCUUGGAUGUGAAAAACUGCAAAACAAGAGGGCUGUCUGGAGUAAAAUCUGAUCUGUUUUCUGGCCCUGUCCUGAGGGUGGAAAAGCAACUCGGCCAGCUCUGCCUGAAUAUUUGACAAACACUAUCCAACAGACUACGAAGUAUUUCCAGCAUCUUCAAAACACACAACCACAGCAGCACUUUGUAUGCUCCUCACCUUCGUUUUUACAUUUUCCCUUCAGGUUCUGAGUUUUAUGUUAUUAAAUUUUAGUGUAAAACAUUGUAAUAAAUAAUAAGUAGCAACA